AACCCUUAUUGCUAGUUACCAUCAUUAAGUUUGGGGGACGUCUAGCGAGACUGCCAGUGAUAAACUGGAGGAAGGUGGGGAUGACGUCAAAUCAUCAUGCCCCUUAUGACCUGGGCUACAAACGUGAUACAAUGGCUGAAACAAAGGGCAGCGAAGGAGCGAUCUGGAGCGAAACCCAAAAAAGCAGUCUCAGUUCGGAUUGAAGUCUGCAACUCGACUUCAUGAAGUCGGAAUCGCUAGUAAUCGCGGAUCAGAACGCCGCGGUGAAUACGUUCUCGGGGUUU
rnacentral:rRNA from 1 species